AAGAAUGUUUUGAUAGGGAGGAGUAGAAGUAAUCUUCCAGAAAGAGAGGAAGGUCAAGGCUGAAAGCCUUCCGGGAGUAGCUUUGAAGGUCGCCCUGGAGCAGCUUCGGUGAAUAAAAUUAAGUAGCCGAAGACGGUUAUGCCCGUUAAAGCUUAAAGUGCCGGUAUAGGAAUUAAGGUGGUACCGCGAAAGCGAGUCUUUCGUCCUUUAG
rnacentral:ncRNA from 2 species